rnacentral:misc_RNA from 1 species
GAUGAAGAACGUAGUGAAAUGCGAUACGUAAUGUGAAUUGCAAAUUCAGUGAAUCAUCGAGUCUUUGAACGCACAUUGCGCCCCCUGGCAUUCCGGGGGGCAUGCCUGUCCGAGCGUCAUUGCUGCCCUUCAAGCCCGGCUUGUGUGUUGGGUCGUCGUCCCCCCCGGGGGACGGGCCCGAAAGGCAGCGGCGGCACCGCGUCCGGUCCUCGAGCGUAUGGGGCUUUGUCACCCGCUCGAUUAGGGCCGGCCGGGCGCCAGCCGGCGUCUCCAACCUUCUAUUUUACCAGGUUGACCUCGGAUCAGGUAGGGAUACCCGCUGAACUUAAGCAUAUCAAUAAGCGGAGGA